AGAGACUGAUCGGUACUCGAAAAGCGGAAAAGGACUGGAAGACACUCACGCGUUAUAUUGUCAGCAAAAGACUACCUGAAAGCCAACCGAUAUGAGGAUAUAUGUGCUAAUUCUGCUGCUGUCCUUACUGCUGGGGGCGGUCGUGGAAGUGAACAGCCAGGUCGUGACGCGUCGAAGGAAUUUCCCUGGAGAGAGACGUCUCGGGAGCAUCAACUAUGGGCAGUACAGGUUUGGGAAGCGAGGAUAUCAACGGAAGCAAAAUCCGAGAAAGUUCACGUGAAGUUAUCGGUUACUUGGGAUGUGUUCUGGACUGAUUAACGGACUUUUUGACAAUGACACUUCAAUUAAUUAUAGAAAGGCUUUAAACUGUAAAUAGUUUUGUAAAUAGACUCUAAAAAUGAAUCCACGAGUAACUAUGCAGCCUGUAUAUAGUUUAAAUACGGAAAUAUAUAGAUAUAUUUUUCCAUGAGGACUAGUUUACGUAAAGGAGCAGAAUAAGAAUAAAUAUUCUAAGGCCUAUAAGUUAAAGAGAUAAAAACUAAACCAUAAGCAAAGACCCUACUAUAAAGAGCUUGAAGCUUGUUUAGACUCAGACGUAAGGCUACUGAAUGCAGGCGGAAGGGAUCCAUGAGUGUAGUAAAGCCUUUGGAAUAGUCACUACGUUCAUCAAGUUCACAAGGUGAUGUUUGGUGAAGAAAAAUUCUGGUUUCUAUGCAUGUUAUCGACCAAAGCCCCCCAGAAGAGUUCUCGGGUGAAAAUCUUCCCACAGCUACAAGGCCCUUUCCAGCGGGCAACCAUGAACACUGAAGAUGACCUGAAGGAUAGAAUCGAUGAUAAUGACGAAGAUUAACUUUGAGGAUAACUUGAAAGAUAACUCAUGGUAACCUUGAAGGAUAAUCUUGAUGACUAGCUUGCGUUUUUGCUAUAACCUGCUCUUUCUGUUUCAUUACUGAUGGUUAAUCUUAACUAGUGCUAUGCUUUAAUGUGUAAGGUAAUUUGAGGAACAAUCAGUAUAGUAUAUAUUUGUAAUGCUGUUAAUAAUGUUAUAAUGUUAUAUUCAGAUAUAUUUAUACUGUUGAGACGAUAUUGCCCUGAUGUUAUAAUCUUGUUAUAUAUUUUGCUUGUUAACUGGUUUGUACAUGCAAAAGUUAUUAAGAUGUUUUAUUAUUUUUGUUAAUUGUUGGGAAAUUAUCAUUAUGUAUGCCUGUUAUAAUAAAAUAACAAA